GCAUAUGCCACAGGAGCAGCCUAAGAAGACAAAAGACACACAAAAAAGUCUAGUGUUUCAAGCAAAAGACACCUGUUGCUAAGAGGCCAGCAAGAUAACCAGCCGGAGCCAGCUAGACAAGACAGGACGUAUACUGUUGCACAAGGAUCCCACUGCGUUUCGAGCCUCCCGGCUGAGGAGCAAGUGCAGUUAACAUUCCAAGGGGGAGCGAAUGAGUGCCUUGGUCUGAGGGCCAGUAUCCUGGGGGUUGCAGACCUCCAGCAGUACAGCCAUCCAGGUAACUCCACUUAUCUCAACUUUAUACACAGCUGCUCUGAACGUUUCUAGUACCCAGCACCCAUGAGCCAGUUUUCAAAGACUCUAUCCAUUCACCUAGUUGUCUGGCAGCCAUAAUCCAAGCAUGCUGCUUUGGGCCAAAUCAUGGUGAUUUUCUGUUUCCUCACGGAGCAGUCUUUGCUG
rnacentral:lncRNA from 9 species